GAAGGUCACGGCGAGACGAGCCGUUUAUCAUUACGAUAGGUGUCAAGUGGAAGUGCAGUGAUGUAUGCAGCUGAGACAUCCUAACAGACCGGUGUAGACUUGAAC
rnacentral:rRNA from 1 species